GUAGGUGGCAAGCGUUGUCCGGAAUUAUUGGGCGUAAAGCGCGCGCAGGCGGUUCUUUAAGUCUGAUGUGAAAGCCCACGGCUCAACCGUGGAGGGUCAUUGGAAACUGGAGAACUUGAGUACAGAGGAGGAAAGCGGAAUUCCACGUGUAGCGGUGAAAUGCGUAGAGAUGUGGAGGAACACCAGUGGCGAAGGCGGCUUUCUGGUCUGUAACUGACGCUGAGGCGCGAAAGCGUGGGGAGCAAACAGGAUUAGAUACCCUGGUAGUCCACGCCGUAAACGAUGAGUGCUAAGUGUUAGGGGGUUUCCGCCCCCCUUAGUGCUGCAGCUAACGCAUUAAGCACUCCGCCUGGGAGUACGGCCGCAAGGCUG
rnacentral:rRNA from 1 species